rnacentral:rRNA from 1 species
UACGUAGGGUGCAAGCGUUGUCCGGAAUUAUUGGGCGUAAAGAGCUCGUAGGCGGUUUGUCGCGUCUGCUGUGAAAACUCGGGGCUUAACUCCGGGCCUGCAGUGGGUACGGGCAGACUAGAGUGCGGUAGGGGAGACUGGAAUUCCUGGUGUAGCGGUGAAAUGCGCAGAUAUCAGGAGGAACAUCGGUGGCGAAGGCGGGUCUCUGGGCCGAUACUGACGCUGAGGAGCGAAAGCGUGGGGAGCGAACAGG